AGUUUAGAAAGUACAGAUACAAAAUGUCUGUAGAUAUCAGCAACAAUCAUUUGGUACUUUAAGUAGCAAGUGUGAGAGACAGAACCAUAAUGGUUUCCAUGAAUGGAAGUAAUGGAGACAUGUCCAUUGACCUGUGGAGCCUGCUGGCGGCAAGUGAUUCUGCCUUUGCAACCAUUGCAGACCAAGAUGUUUAGGCUGAUCAUGGUCUACACUGUUCGCUCUUCAGUUAGUAAAUUUCCAGUGAACACCCCUUCGAAUAAUAAAUGGUAUUGCCCUAAUUGAAUGAUGGACCAGUCCAAUUUAGAAAUUUAGCAGGACAGCUCAUGCAGAUCAGAGAUUCACAUACUGAAAGAGAUGAAGAACUUUGGCCAUGGACUGCAGUCUGCACUGAUGGGAACAGACAGGCAGUUGGCUCCUAUGGAAUAUUUGUCCUUACAGAUUAUCUGACAUACUUUUUGACUGGAGACAGAAAUAGUGACUGUAAAGAGACAUUCUGUAUCCAUGGUGACAGUGGUCAGAUUCAGCUGCAGAUCUCUCCUUAACAACGGUACUGUCUACUACUGUGUGCGGAGUGAAUGUUAAUGAUAAUGGUUACCACACCAAUAAUAUUGCAGCAGUCAAUGUUAACAUCUUUAUCACAUGUGACCUUGCUAUGCCUGUGUUUACCAGUAACGUAUGAUGGUGACGAUCAAGGAUGAAGAAAUCAAUAACAGUAUCAUCAAGGUUACUGCUAUACGACACAGACGUAUUGUGAGCUGUAAUGCAGGACUUACACCAGAUGUCCAUACUGUCAAAUAUGCUGAAAUAAGCACGAAAUGGAGACAACAAUGCCAAGAUAAAUCAGUAUUACCAGCCACAAGCACUGACACUUGAAUACCAAAAAAAUACUGGCUGAAUAACGAACAGUGCAGAUCAUGAUCAGACUGCACGGAAGGCAGAAUCAGUCGUGUCCAUGAUGACACUAAACCAGCUGGCAAAAACAGAAUAUGGUCAGUGAGAUAAAGCAGGAAGGAAAGAGCAGCUCACCAGUAAUUGAUGUCAUAAAAAAUUAGCUUCUGAGUUGGGUUGCUGAGCCCACAAACAGCGGCAGAAGUACUACAGCAUACAAACAGUAUGAACACCACGGCAGGCCCGCACACACAAGACAAGGGUGGUCCUCUCUAACAAUGAUCUGAGAAUCACCUCAAGACAGGAGGAUAUCUUUGAGGAGUUGUUACAGCGACAGUUGGAUGCAGUCCAGAGAUCUAGACAGUUGUAUGCAGUCAGAUUUUGACAGUUGUAUACAGUCAGAUCUCGACAGUUGUAUGCAGUCAGAUCUCAACAGUUGUAUGCAGUCAGGAGAUCUAGACAGUUGUUUGCAGUCAUAUCUUGACAGUUGUAUGCAGUCCGGAGAUCUCGACAGUUUAUAUGCAGUCAGGAGAUCUCGACAGUUGUAUGCAGCCCUGGGAUCACAGCAGUAGUAUGCAGUCCGGGGAUCUUGACAGCUGUAUGCAGUCCGGAGAUAUUGACAGUUGUAUGCAGUCAGGAGAUCUCAGUUCUUUCUGUACUGAUGGCAUUCUCAAGAUUCAGUCUCAAAUAGAAAUAACUUGGACUGCUUAAAAGCUUCUCUAUAACUUGCAGAUGUGCAGCCUGCGACAUUCUUAUGUAGAAGACAUGUGUGUGAAAUACAAUGAAUAUGAACUGUCACUGUUCAAAUUUGAAAUGUUUCAAGAAAUGUUUUUAUCACAGUGAGACUGAAAAUAAGAAAUCAUAAGGAAGUAAGCUAUGGACAUUUGAACAAAGACCAGUGACUUUUUGGUUUGGCACAGUCAAAAAUAAUGAUGGACCACAAACUGGACACCCAGAAAACUGGAAUAAUGUUGUUUGAAUAAAUGUUGUUUUUUUUAUUUGUAAAAAAAUACCUUGCAUGUCCUGUCUUAAAAAUUUUGGUAGUUGUUUUUACCAAAGGCCCUUUAAUUGACUUGGGUAUUACUUAAAUUUCAUAUUGUUUGAUUGCUUUACAUAAAUUUUAAACUGAUCAAUGUAUUGUGAAAAUGAUGCACUUGGGCUUACUAUAGGGAAUUUACCUUUGUCAGUCUUCGAAUUUUUGUAUGUCAGUCUUUGAAUUUUGUUUGUGUCAGUCUUUGAAUUUUUGUAAUGUUGCACAUGUUUUGCAGUUCUCAUGAGAUGUAGUUAACAACUGACAGUCGUUAUAUGUAUAGAGGCUUGUUUUGUGUCGAAAUAUAAUCUAAUUAUAUUCUUUCUUCAGUACAUAUUUUGAGUUAAUAUGAAUAGAACUGUAUAGACAGCAAAAAGUAUUGAUUGGCACCUUUGAUUUUUGUGAGUCUGCUUUGAAAAAUCACAAUACCUCAUCAUUCCUAACAGUCUGAUGUAACAUCAUAGUUUUUAAAGAAUUUACUGUGUAAAGAAAUUUAGAUUUUGACACAAGAUCAAACAUUUGUGAAAGUACCGAUAUUGUCAUGUAUUGAGCUGUAUAUAUAUGUAUUAUACUGGAUCAACCAUUCAUGUACAAUCAGAAUAACUAUUUAAGGAGCUCACAUGGAUGAAAUUCCAUGACCGAAUUGACUACAAAAAAGCAAUUUUGUUAAAUCUUUAAAUGGGUUGAACCCUGAUUAUCUUAAAGUUUACAUACUGUCAAAAUUAGUU